rnacentral:rRNA from 1 species
GAUGAACGCUGGCGGCGUGCUCAACACAUGCAAGUCGAACGAUGAAGCAGGAGCUUGCUCUUGUGGAUCAGUGGCGAACGGGUGAGUAACACGUGAGCAACCUGCCCCUGACUCUGGGAUAAGCGCUGGAAACAGCGUCUAAUACUGGAUAUGUGAUGUGACCGCAUGGUCUGCAUCUGGAAAGAAUUUCGGUUGGGGAUGGGCUCGCGGCCUAUCAGCUUGUUGGUGAGGUAAUGGCUCACCAAGGCGUCGACGGGUAGCCGGCCUGGGAGGGGGACCGGCCACACCGGGACUGAGACACGGCCCAGACUCCUACGGGAGGCAGCAGUGGGGAAUAUUGCACAAUGGGCGGAAGCCUGAUGCAGCAACGCCGCGUGAGGGAUGACGGCCUUCGGGUUGUAAACCUCUUUUAGCAGGGAAGAAGCGAAAGUGACGGUACCUGCAGAAAAAGCACCGGCUAACUACGUGCCAGCCGCCGCGGUAA